UUUUUUUAAAUUAUUGUAACUAUUAUCGACACAACUACAUGUAUGAGUAUACGUAAUUUUUAAUUGUUAUUGUUUCUUUGUACAGUCAUUUGGUUUUCUUAUGUCAAUGCUAUGUAGAAUGGUGGAACUAAUAUUUACUUUUUGUUGAGUUGUAGCACAAUGUUGGGUAGAUCAGUUAGAGACCUUGCUCGGCCACAGAACACGGCCAAGGGUUGGAACAGUUGGACCAGAGACUUGGACAACAAGGACACACUAGUUUUUACAGAUGGGUUACCAGACUGGACUGGAUUCACGACUCAUCACGCCACUAACUCAACUCCUUUGGUCACCUACAUUUGUACAUUGAAUCAUCAUCAGAUGUUAUUUAUGCCAACCCCUAGAGCUUUGCAUUGGUAUGAUCCAGUUGAGAAUUUUUCAGGUAAUCGUCAGAUUUACUAGUUAAAAGCAGUAUAUUACUUUUAAGUUAAACCCCCGCAUGUACAAAAUGUACAUGUGAUUACAACAUAUAACAA
rnacentral:lncRNA from 1 species